CGCCAUUUUAAAGUAUAGUUUGGAUUGAUGCUGUACGCAGCGCCACGUACCACGAUUAUUUGUUGUGAUUGAUUGUUCAUCCGGGAGAUAGCGCCUUCGGAGUAAACAUCUCAAGAGUUGAGAAUUCAGAUAAAUUGAGAUUUUAAGAUAUGCCUCAACGGUUGGUGAAUUUGUUUAUGCAAUAGGUAUGUAGUUGCUGAGCAAGUCGAUUCGUCUAUUCGUAGGUCAAAUGGCAUUGAAAACGUACAUACAUGCAUUCAUAAACGAAUUCAAGGUAGAAAAUGAAGAGGGUGAAGUCUUUGAUUUAGCGAUACAGCGAUUGAUUCGUUGACCUACUUCGAGACUAAGACACGAGAUACACACGAAUAAGAUGAAACAAAAACUGACAAGAAAGUGAUUGAUGAUCUCUCAAAGCUCAUUAAGAGAGUAAAAUAAAAGUAAAACGAAUACAAAGAGAAUGAUGAUAAUUGGAACACAAUGAUAAUGGUGAAUUUUGGUGAAACGUGGCGUAAAAUUCCGCAGAAAAGGAUAUAUGGGUUACGACAAGAACUGGGAAAAUGAAUAUACAGCGAUAACAAUAAUACCAACACAACAUCGGUGAAAGGUCACUUCCGACUUUUCGUGAGAUCCGAGGGUAGGUCAGAAUGCGGCGACGAUGAGGACGUCGAAUCCGGUAGCGACAAAACUUUCGAUGAUAUCGGCACCGAGAGACCCGCUGCUGUCAUCGCGACGCUCAAAGGUUUGCAGAGCCUCUUCAAUCGCAAGUGGAAAACUGCAAAAUCAGACUCCGGCAUUCAACAAAUAAUAGGCAAAAAUACCUGCAUCCUGGGGUAUUUGAACCGGUUGUCCAUUUUGCCCGAUACUAAGGAGAACGCCGGGGCUCGGAGAGUAGACGACAUUCUGAGGCAUCGGAUAAAUCAUUCCGGAUGCAAAGGGCGACAUGCUACCUGAAAAAUGAAGUCCUAAUUACCUCCUUUCGUGAAUAAUUCACAUUCAUAUAUGCACGUAAAUGAAAUGUCGACGAUUCACAGCAGAUGAUCGUUGUAGGUAUGUACAUAUUCGAAAAUCACGUUCGCAAGUUAACGCGCGAUCUCGUCGAGAAUAAUGCAAUACCUCCAUUCAAUCACGUGUCGCAUAACGUGCCUGUAAUCAAUCCGCCCAAGGACACGACGGGGGGUUAUUCUGAUUCUUUGUAGUUCACGCCAGGGGCUAUUUUCUUGGAAUCAUCAAUCAAUCGAGGAGAAUUGGAAAAUAAUAUCCGACCAUCUUGUUACACAGUCUAGCACGAUAAUCUGGAGUAGGAAUUAUAGCAUCAUUGGAGAACGUGACCAAACGUCGACGAAGCCACUUUUCGAAAGUGACGAAAUAAAGAGAUCCGCCAUUUUUUUAAACAGAAAUUCGUCUCUUCAAAAUGUAAACGAAAUUUUUAUCAAUCGAGCUUGAUUAUAUCUUUAAACGGUUACUGAUACAACUUCUGCUUAUAUAAAUAAGGACAUGAUUUGUUCUUAUUUUGAGCCGUCAUUUCACCAUUUGUUGCUAUAUUGAACUCGAACUAUUCGUGAAUUUUUGAAAUUUAUCAUCAGCGAAAGCGUAGCAUUGAUUAAGCACGAAUGAUCAAAACUUCGUAGGUAACCUAUACAUUCGUCAAAUGUUCUUCUAACCUGUACGAAAUUUGAAAUUUAAAAAUAAAAAAUUUAUUUAUACGGGA
rnacentral:lncRNA from 1 species